AAAGGUUCCAUUAAUACUGGGAGCUCAUGACGGUACCGUAAGAAUAAGCACCGGCUAACUACGUGCCAGCAGCCGCGGUAAUACGUAGGGUGCAAGCGUUAAUCGGAAUUACUGGGCGUAAAGCGUGCGCAGGCGGUUAUGUAAGACAGAGGUGAAAUCCCCGGGCUCAACCUGGGAACUGCCUUUGUGACUGCAUAGCUAGAGUACGGUAGAGGGGGAUGGAAUUCCGCGUGUAGCAGUGAAAUGCGUAGAUAUGCGGAGGAACACCGAUGGCGAAGGCAAUCCCCUGGACCUGUACUGACGCUCAUGCACGAAAGCGUGGGGAGCAAACAGGAUUAGAUACCCUGGUAGUCCACGCCCUAAACGAUGUCAACUGGUUGUUGGGUCUNUCACUGACUCAGUAACGAAGCUAACGCGUGAAGUUGACCGCCU
rnacentral:rRNA from 1 species